AUUGAACGCUGGCGGCAGGCCUAACACAUGCAAGUCGAGCGAGCGGCGGACGGGUGAGGAAUGUAGGGGGACUGCCCGAGAGAGGGGGAUAACUACUGGAAACGGUAGCUAAUACCGCAUACUAGCGGAUAACCCAUAUGGGAUUAGCUAGUAGGUGAGGUAAUGGCUCACCUAGGCGACGAUACCUAGCUGUUCUGAGAGGAUGAUCAGCCACACUGGGACUGAGACACGGCCCAGACGCCUACGGAGGCAGCAGUGUGGAAUAUUUCGCAAUGGGCGCAAGCCUGAUGCAGCCAUGCCGCGUGUAUGAAGAAGGCCCUAGGGUUGUAAAGUACUUUCAGUCGUGAGGCGUUACCGACAGAAGAAGCACCGGCUAACUCCGUGCCAGCAGCCGCGGUAAUUC
rnacentral:rRNA from 1 species